rfam:Glycine soja cultivar W05 scaffold3294_40, whole genome shotgun sequence.
CUGUCCUUUGGAGUUCCUCUGAACGCUUCAUGUUAGUGAGGGGGGUAGCCAGUGUAAACUGGACUGGUACCCAUUAUUAUAAGCCUUCUUAUGAAGUGUUUGGGGGAACUCUUGGGUUCAA